GUAGUCGUGGCUGAGUGGUUAAGGUGAUGGACUUGAAAUCCAUUUUGGUCUCCCUGCGCAGGUUCGAAUCCUGCCGACUACG
rfam:Danio rerio chromosome 4, GRCz11 reference primary assembly.